rfam:Oryza barthii chromosome 11, whole genome shotgun sequence.
UUUAAAUGCUACCAUAAGAUUCCGUGUUCCAUUUCGAUCGUUCGUCUUAUUUAAAAUUUUUUUAUAAUUAGUAUUUUUGUUGUUAUGAGAUGAUAAAAUAUGAAUAGUACUUUACUCGCGACUUAUAUUUUUAAAUUUUUUUAAAAAAGUUUUAAAUAAAACGGACGAUCAAAGUUGAACGCUGAAAACCAUGGCUACACUUAUA